rnacentral:rRNA from 1 species
UACGAAGGGGGCUAGCGUUGUUCGGAAUUACUGGGCGUAAAGGGCGCGUAGGCGGUGCUUUAAGUCAGGCGUGAAAGCCCCGGGCUCAACCUGGGAACUGCGCUUGAUACUGCGGCGCUUGAGGACGGGAGAGGAUGGCGGAAUUCCCAGUGUAGAGGUGAAAUUCGUAGAUAUUGGGAAGAACACCGGUGGCGAAGGCGGCGAUCUGGCCCGUUAUUGACGCUGAGGCGCGAAAGCGUGGGGAGCAAACAGG